UUGCAGCGGGAAAGUCGUACACGACCAGCUCCCUCUGAACUCCCCCAGGGCCGGAAGGCAGCAAGGGCAGGAGGUUGUAGCGGUGCGAUGUACUAAGCUUUCCCUUUU
rfam:Bacteroidales bacterium WCE2004 genome assembly, contig: Ga0070256_12